UACGUAGGGUGCAAGCGUUAAUCGGAAUUACUGGGCGUAAAGCGUGCGCAGGCGGUUCUAUAAGACAGAUGUGAAAACCCGCAGCUCAACUGUGGGCUUGCAGCUGAUACGGGCGGGCUGGGAUUCGGUAGGGGAGACUGGAAUUCCUGGUGUAGCGGUGAAAUGCGCAGAUAUCAGGAGGAACACCGAUGGCGAAGGCAGGUCUCUGGGCAUUAACUGACGCUGAGGAGCGAAAGCAUGGGGAGCGAACAGG
rnacentral:rRNA from 1 species